GACGUAGGUGGCGAACGUUAUCCGGAAUUAUUGGGCGUAAAGGGUGCGUAGAUGGCUUGAUAAGUUAGCAGUGGGAAAUCGAGGCUCAACCUCGUGGAAGCUGGUAAUACUGUCAGGCUCGAGUGCAGGAGAGGUUAACGGAACUCCAUGUGGAGCGGUAAAAUGUGUAGAUAUAUGGAAGAACACCAAGAACGGCGAAGGCAGUUAACUAUUCUGUUACUGACUUGAGGCACGAAAGCGUGGGGAGCAAAACGG
rnacentral:rRNA from 1 species